GCCGAGGUGGCACAACCUGGUACUGCGCUGGAUUGCUAGAUUCAGUGCCCGCAAGGGCUCGGGAGUUCAAAUCUCCCCCUCGGCG
rnacentral:tRNA from 1 species